ACAAGCGGUGGAGCAUGUGGUUAAUUCGACGCAACGCGAGAACCUUACCAGGGCUUGACAUCCCCUGACCGCGUAUGAAAGUACGUUUUCACCCUCGGGUGACAGGGAGACAGGUGGUGCAUGGUUGUCGUCAGCUCGUGUCGUGAGAUGUUGGGUUAAGUCCCGCAACGAGCGCAACCCCUACGUUUAGUUGCUAACGCGUGAAGGCGAGCACUCUAGACGAACUGCCGUUGACAAAACGGAGGAAGGUGGGGAUGACGUCAAAUCAUCAUGCCCCUUAUGUUCUGGGCUACACACGUGCUACAAUGGCCGGUACAGACGGACGCAAAGCCGCGAGGUGGAGCAAAUCCUAAAAAGCCGGUCUCAGUUCGGAUUGCAGGCUGCAAUUCGCCUGCAUGAAGUCGGAAUCGCUAGUAAUCGCAGGUCAGCAUACUGCGGUGAAUACGUUCCCGGGCCUU
rnacentral:rRNA from 1 species